rnacentral:rRNA from 1 species
UACGUAGGGUGCAAGCGUUGUCCGGAAUUAUUGGGCGUAAAGAGCUCGUAGGCGGUUUGUUGCGUCUGCUGUGAAAACUCGGGGCUUAACUCCGGGCCUGCAGUGGGUACGGGCAGACUAGAGUGCGGUAGGGGAGACUGGAAUUCCUGGUGUAGCGGUGAAAUGCGCAGAUAUCAGGAGGAACACCGGUGGCGAAGGCGGGUCUCUGGGCCGAUACUGACGCUGAGGAGCGAAAGCGUGGGGAGCGAACAGG